UAUCCCCUGUGUGCCUUUAAGGCGUGCGUAGCGAAGCUAACGCGCUAAGUAGACCGCCUGGGGAGUACGGCCGCAAGGUUAAAACUCAAAUGAAUUGACGGGGGCCCGCACAAGCGGUGGAGCAUGUGGUUUAAUUCGAAGCAACGCGCAGAACCUUACCAACCCUUGACAUCCUGUGCUACAUCCAGAGAUGGAUGGUUCCCUUCGGGGACGCAGUGACAGGUGCUGCAUGGCU
rnacentral:rRNA from 1 species